rnacentral:rRNA from 2 species
AUUCCACGGAUUCCGUGACGCAGCUAACGCAUUAAGUUCCCCGCCUGGGGAGUACGGCCGCAAGGCUAAAACUCAAAGGAAUUGACGGGGACCCGCACAAGCGGCGGAGCAUGCGGAUUAAUUCGAUGCAACGCGAAGAACCUUACCAAGGCUUGACAUAUACGAGAACGGGCCAGAAAUGGUCAACUCUUUGGACACUCGUAAACAGGUGGUGCAUGGUUGUCGUCAGCUCGUGUCGUGAGAUGUUGGGUUAAGUCCCGCAACGAGCGCAACCCUCGUUCUAUGUUGCCAGCACGUAAUGGUGGGAACUCAUGGGAUACUGCCGGGGUCAACUCGGAGGAAGGUGGGGAUGACGUCAAAUCAUCAUGCCCCUUAUGUCUUGGGCUUCACGCAUGCUACAAUGGCCGGUACAAAGGGCUGCAAUACCGUGAGGUGGAGCGAAUCCCAAAAAGCCGGUCCCAGUUCGGAUUGAGGUCUGCAACUCGACCUCAUGAAGUCGGAGUCGCUAGUAAUCGCAGAUCAGCAACGCUGCGGUGAAUACGUUCCCGGGUCUUGUACACACCGCCCGUCAAGUCAUGAAAGUCGGUAACACCUGAAGCCGGUGGCCUAACCC